rnacentral:lncRNA from 1 species
UUGUAAUUUGAAUUUUGUACUCUUGGUCAAAUCUUUUCUGUUGGUGUCAUUUUAAUUACUUGCAUGUUACUAUUUACAGAAAGAAUGAAGAAACUGAAUGAAUAUUUUGUUCAAAUCAAAGUAAGCUAUUAUAGAAAUGCCAGAAAGAUUGGUAUCGUAAUUAACAAGCAUACCUAUUUUCUGUUAUACAUUUCAGAUUUAUACGGCUAUUUUGUUCACAUUUCAUUCUUUACUUUGAGUAUAUUGAUUCUUUAUGACUUGAACCCUCUUCUGAACAUAUUGUUUUUUGAUAUCUUUUGUAAAUUCGACGGCACUGAUUAUAGUUUCGUUUCUGUUAUCUCAUUUCACAUCUGCUGUCUAUGGAAAUUUUAACGAAUGCAACAAAUUCUAUUUCGAUCAAAAUGUUUCGAUAUAAUAUAAAUUAAAGGUAUUAAACUUUAUGAAGAGAUUCAGCAAACUCUAAUCGGCUUAUCUGUUAAUGUAUUCUUUAUUAUUAAAAAGUAGUUUUUGAUUAGGGUGGUUAGCGCUAUAUAUUCUCUCCUAUCUUCACUGCUCGAAAUACGAAAAGAAGUUCUGUACACGGAAGUUCUGUAAGAAAAUGAUUUAUGUGAGUCCCACAAAUAUGAGUAGUAUUUAUCAACUUUUAUAAUCAGCUAUUGUAUUUGCAACUCAGUAGAGCCGUUAUUAGUUGCAAUAUAAGUUAAUGGGUGGACUACACACAAAAUAAAUGGGAGAGAGUUAAGAGCGUUGCAUAUGUACCGUACAGCACAUGCAUCAUUAGUGGUUUGGGGAGAUUUACGAUGACAAAUGUCUGUCUGAAACACCGAAUAAAGUAACUUUGUGACUUUGAACAAAGGAAAAGGCGUUUAUGGAGAUCUGAAGUUGUAGAAUCGCUAUCCGUAUCUACUUUUAAAUUGGUUUUUACAGAUAUAAGAAGUUAUGAUAAUUAUUUUAUCUCGAAUGAAUUUUUUAUAUCAUACUCAUAAAUGGUAUGUAAUUAACUUCAGAGAUUUAUAUUGUUGUACAUUUUUUUUUAUUUUAAAGAAAAUUAUUAUGUCCACAUAGCAUGAAGUCACAGGAUGCAUGUUGUGCACCAUUGGUUUAAGGCAACACAACAUAUCGAUGAUCUUUCAAGGGGGUGCUUCCUGGGAGGACUUUCUUUAUAAAUUGACCUUUAUUUAGGGGUUAGACAUGCAAAGAAAACCAAGAAAAUUCCUCCAUGCGACUAGCCCAUUCACGAGGCGUGAAUCCACGUGGGACCAGUGUUCAAUGGUUAUUUUCACUCAGCCAUUAAUGGACUAAACGAAUAGAAGAAAUUUUCUUAAUCUACAUCAAAACUACCGAAUAGAAAACCGUUAGCGAGGUCACAAACUCGUGACGAGGUCACAAAACUCCACGUUUUCCAGGUUUUCCAGGUUUUCUCAUGUUUGUAACACCUAAAUAGGGACCAGUUUCCCAUAGGAUUUUCUUUCGGGAGGCACCCCCCUCGGCAGAUCGCUAUGUGUCGCGUCGCCGUAAACAAAUAAACCAAACCAAACAAAAAUUAAAAGAGAUGAACGCACUGCGAUCAAUACUUCCACAUCUACUCAAUACAUAGUAAAGAAUUAAAACAAUACUAAGAUCUAGUUAAAAUAAAAUGCAAUCAGUUAAUUUCACAUAGAAAACAAAGAUGGUUGUCAACCAAUCGGUAACAACCAUCAACUAUUUGUCACCAGGGCCGGCUAAGGUCCGCACUGGUGACAAAUCGUUGAGCCAAACAUUCUCUUUACUCCAAGAAGCGCUGCGCUAAAAUUAUAAACUCUGCGAAGAAAAGAAAUUUUUCUUCUUAUAAUAAACGAUUGUUAAAAAA